GUGCUCGCUUUGGCAGCACAUAUACUAAAAUUGGAAUGAUAUAGAGAAGAUUAGCAUGGCCCCUGUGCAAGGAUGACAUGCAAAUGCAUGAAGCAUUCCAUAUUUUU